rnacentral:rRNA from 1 species
GACGAACGCUGGCGGCGUGCUUAACACAUGCAAGUCGAACGGAAAGGCCCUGCUUUUGUGGGGUGCUCGAGUGGCGAACGGGUGAGUAACACGUGAGUAACCUGCCCUUUACUUUGGGAUAACUUCAGGAAACUGGGGCUAAUACCGGAUAUGAGCUCCUGCUGCAUGGUGGGGGUUGGAAAGUUUCGGCGGUUGGGGAUGGACUCGCGGCUUAUCAGCUUGUUGGUGGGGUAGUGGCUUACCAAGGCUUUGACGGGUAGCCGGCCUGAGAGGGUGACCGGCCACAUUGGGACUGAGAUACGGCCCAGACUCCUACGGGAGGCAGCAGUGGGGAAUAUUGCACAAUGGGCGGAAGCCUGAUGCAGCAACGCCGCGUGCGGGAUGACGGCCUUCGGGUUGUAAACCGCGUUCGCCUGUGACGAAGCGUGAGUGACGGUAAUGGGUAAAGAAGCACCGGCUAACUACGUG